rnacentral:rRNA from 1 species
GACAGAGGGGGCAAGCGUUGCUCGGAAUUACUGGGCGUAAAGGGCGCGUAGGCGGGAUGGCAAGUCGGUCGUGAAAUCCUUCGGCUCAACCGAAGAACGUCGAUCGAUACUGCUGUUCUUGAGGGUUGCAGAGGAGACUGGAAUUCCCGGUGUAGCGGUGAAAUGUGUAGAGAUCGGGAGGAACACCGGUGGCGAAGGCGGCCCCCUGGACCGGUACUGACGCUGAGGCGCGAAAGCGUGGGGAGCGAACAGG